CAGGGAUUUGGUCUAGGUGCUGCUGCUCAUUGCAUGGAAAGCCCAUCACUGACACAAUACACUACUGACAAGGAAGAAGGCUUUAAUUGGGCGCUGCAGCUGAGGAGUUGGGAGCUCAGUCUCAAAUCCAUCUCCCUGAUGGACUAAAACUAGGGGCUCAUAUAGCAGGGAAGAAAUGUGACAAUGUGUAAGAAAACAGGAACUAUUGAAGGGCAAGGAAGCAAUCAUGACGAUUGAAGGGUCGGCAUCUGAUGUGGUGAUCUCGUCUGAAAAUUAUGCUCCCAUGCCUUUAAUUAACAGAGGACAAUGCCUUAAAAAGAAGGCUUUCCCAAUGCAGAGAGCAACAUACUAACAGAUUGAAAUAAGCUCCACCAUCCAUCAUAAUUGUAGGCGAUAGGAAGAGAAUCUUGAUCAUCAAUCUACCCUCCUGCUCUUGUCAGCGCUGCUGUCCUCAGAUAAACAUAAUUUGUUUCUACUGUUUUUAUUUUCUGAAAAGAUUUGAAUAAAUGGAAACAUACAAGCUU
rnacentral:lncRNA from 10 species